GCUUAAUACAUGCAAGUCGAGCGGGGAGAUGUAGCUUGCUACAUUACCUAGCGGCGGACGGGUGAGUAAUGCUUAAGAAUCUGCCUAUUAGUGGGGGACAACCUUCCGAAAGGAAUGCUAAUACCGCAUACGCCCUACGGGGGAAAGCAGGGGAUCUUCGGACCUUGCGCUAAUAGAUGAGCCUAAGUCAGAUUAGCUAGUUGGUGGGGUAAAGGCCUACCAAGGCGACGAUCUGUAGCGGGUCUGAAAGGAUGAUCCGCCACACUGGGACUGAAACACGGCCCAGACUCCUACGGGAGGCAGCAGUGGGGAAUAUUGGACAAUGGGCGCAAGCCUGAUCCAGCCAUGCCGCGUGUGUGAAGAAGGCCUUUUGGUUGUAAAGCACUUUAAGCGAGGAGGAGGCUACUUGGAUUAAUACUCUGAGAUAGUGGACGUUACUCGCAGAAUAACCACCGGCUAACUCUGUGCCAGCAGCCGCGGUAAUACAGAGGGUGCGAGCGUUAAUCGGAUUUACUGGGCGUACAGCGUGCGUAGGCGGCUUUUUAAGUCGGAUGUGAAAUCCCUGAGCUUAACUUACGAAUUGCAUUCGAUACUGGGAAGCUAGAGUAUGGGAGAGGAUGGUAGAAUUCCAGGUGUAGCGGUGAAAUGCGUAGAGAUCUGGAGGAUACCGAUGGCGAAGGCAGCCAUCUGGCCUAAUACUGACGCUGAGGUACGAAAGCAUGGGGAGCAAACAGGAUUAGAUACCCUGGUAGUCCAUGCCGUAAACGAUGUCUACUAGCCGUUGGGGCCUUUGAGGCUUUAGUGGCGCAGCUAACGCGAUAAGUAGACCGCCUGGGGAGUACGGUCGCAAGACUAAAACUCAAAUGAAUUGACGGGGGCCCGCACAAGCGGUGGAGCAUGUGGUUUAAUUCGAUGCAACGCGAAGAACCUUACCUGGUCUUGACAUAGUAAGAACUUUCCAGAGAUGGAUUGGUGCCUUCGGGAACUUACAUACAGGUGCUGCAUGGCUGUCGUCAGCUCGUGUCGUGAGAUGUUGGGUUAAGUCCCGCAACGAGCGCAACCCUUUUCCUUAUUUGCCAGCGGGUUAAGCCGGGAACUUUAAGGAUACUGCCAGUGACAAACUGGAGGAAGGCGGGGACGACGUCACGUCAUCAUGGCCCUUACGACCAGGGCUACACACGUGCUACAAUGGUCGGUACAAAGGGUUGCUACCUAGCGAUAGGAUGCUAAUCUCAAAAAGCCGAUCGUAGUCCGGAUUGGAGUCUGCAACUCGACUCCAUGAAGUCGGAAUCGCUAGUAAUCGCGGAUCAGAAUGCCGCGGUGAAUACGUUCCCGGGCCUUGCACACACCGCCCGUCAC
rnacentral:rRNA from 1 species